UGUUUAAGCAUAUAGCUUUGCUAAUAAAAUCGUUCUUGCUUAUUUUUUAUGGUUUUGGCAACCCAGCGACCAGUCAGGACUUUUGAAUAAUGCUUUUUUUCUUUACUGGUCAUGCACAUACUCCUGCUAAUUCUAAAAACGCUUUAUAAAUAUCAAUGCAGCAAUCUUGUCUAGAAUAAACAGUAAAUGCUUAUUAUAUUGUUUAAGCAUAUAGCUUUGCUAAUAAAAUCGUUCGGCUUAUUUCUUAUGGUUUUGGCAACCCUGCGACCAGUCUGGAUUUUUAAAUAAUAUCUUUUUCUUUACUGAUAAUGCACAUACUCCUGAUAAUUUUAAAAAUGCUUUAUCAGUUUAUUUCAGGAGAAUAGUUUAAUUUAAUUUUUUUUUUAAAUCUGACAGCCCGAAAUUAGGAAAAACUGCAGCUGGAGGUAUAAACUGCUUACAAGGAACACAUCACCAUAAGAUGAUUCUGGCAACCUGGACAGUCUGGACUUGUACUUAAUAAACAUAUGAAUUUAAUGUCAGUUGUAUAUCCAGCGUAGCAGGAGCUACCAUCACAUUCGGGAAAGAGCAAAGACGCUGAGUAAAAAUGCAACGGCAUCUCCUGUGGGCGCUGAGUGACUGAAAUUUCCUUUAAAUCUUUAAUGAGCCGGAAAGCUUUUCCAAAGAAAGCCAAGUUACUGAAUCUGGAGGGUUUACGCUGAUCAAUUAACUCAACGGAGAGGAGGAGGGAGAGCCGAGACCGUCAAGUGUACACAAUUUAACAGCACCUUUAAUGGAGUAGUGAACAUACUGUAUCGAAUAUGUGGCUUACAUUACUAGUCAAGUAGAGGGAAAACAACUAGACUUCAAGUCAAGUGCCUGGUUAAUUGUGCACCCACAUAACCCUCUCAAUCCCAGUUUAAUUUAUUCAUUUAUUCAUUUUUACUGACCACCUAAUACUAUUUAGGGUCACUGUGAGUCUGGCGCCACACAUGCAGGAAUCCAUCACAGGACAACACACACUCAAACACCUAUUUACUUACUCACACAUAGAGGUCAUUCAUUCAUUCAUUGUCUGUUCUACCACUGCUUUAAGCAAAGGGUAAAAAUCACCUUUUACAGGUGACAGGUCGCCAGUCCAUCACACACACACACACACAUGGGUCAUUCCUGGGAUUGACCUUAAAACUUUUUGAAAAUGAAACACUGUUUUGUUCUGUUUAUUUGUUUUUCAUGUUUUUUUUAUAAAAAGGACAUGUUAUAUGUUUCCAAACUAAUACUGGUCAAGCUCAAGCAAGCACACAAACUAUAGGUUUUAUUAAAACAUUUUC